rnacentral:rRNA from 1 species
GGCCUACCAUGGUGGUAACGGGUAACGGGGAAUUAGGGUUCGAUUCCGGAGAGGGAGCCUGAGAAACGGCUACCACAUCCAAGGAAGGCAGCAGGCGCGCAAAUUACCCAAUCCCGACACGGGGAGGUAGUGACAAUAAAUAACAAUACGGGGCUCUUUCGGGUCUCGUAAUUGGAAUGAGUACAAUUUAAAUCCCUUAACGAGGAACAAUUGGAGGGCAAGUCUGGUGCCAGCAGCCGCGGUAAUUCCAGCUCCAAUAGCGUAUAUUAAAGUUGUUGCAGUUAAAAAGCUCGUAGUUGAAUUUCGGGAUUGACACAUCGGUCGUGCCUUAAGGGGUAUGAACUGGUGUAGUCAAUUUCUCACCUUCUGGAGAACCGCGAUGCCCUUAAUUGGGUGUCGCGGGGAACCAGGACCUUUACUUUGAAAAAAUUAGAGUGUUUAAAGCAGGCAUUUUGCUUGAAUACAUUAGCAUGGAAUAAUAAAAUAGGACGGCAUGAUUCUAUUUUGUUGGUUUCUAGGAUCACCGUAAUGAUUAAUAGGGAUAGUUGGGGGCAUUAGUAUUCAAUUGUCAGAGGUGAAAUUCUUGGAUUUAUUGAAGACUAACUACUGCGAAAGCAUUUGCCAAGGAUGUUUUCAUUAAUCAAGAACGAAAGUUAGGGGAUCGAAGACGAUCAGAUACCGUCGUAGUCUUAACCAUAAACUAUGCCGACUAGGAAUCAGACGAUGUUAAUUUUUUAAUGACUCGUUUGGCACCUUACGGGAAACCAAAGUGUUUGGGUUC